CAGUAGCCACGGGAAUACGUAGGUGGCAAGCGUUGUCCGGAAUUAUUGGGCGUAAAGCGCGCGCAGGUGGUUCCUUAAGUCUGAUGUGAAAGCCCACGGCUCAACCGUGGAGGGUCAUUGGAAACUGGGGGACUUGAGUGCAGAAGAGGAAAGUGGAAUUCCAAGUGUAGCGGUGAAAUGCGUAGAUAUUUGGAGGAACACCAGUGGCGAAGGCGACUUUCUGGUCUGUAACUGACACUGAGGCGCGAAAGCGUGGGGAGCAAACAGGAUUAGAUACCCGCGUAGUCCCUGUCUCUUAUAC
rnacentral:rRNA from 1 species